CAGGAGACUCUGGAGCUGCGCUGCUCUCUGCUGGACUGGAGGAUCCAUGCUGGAGACUGGACACUCUCAGUGUGGAGCACGGUGGAGUGUGGAGGCUGAAACCAGCUCUGAAGAAGUAUGCCUGUGACCUCACACUGGACCCCCCAACACGGCCCACAGACGACUCUCUCUGUCUGAGGACAACAGGAAGGUGACGCGGGGUGAAGAGGACCAGUCGUAUCCGGAUCACCCAGACAGAUUUGACUCCCGGCACCAGGUGUUGGGUAGAGAGGCUCUGACUGGCCGCUGUUACUGGGAGGUAGAGAGGAGAGGAGAGGUUGGUAUAGGAGUGACAUACAGAGGAAUCACAAGGAGAGGAGGGGGUGGUGACAGCGGGCUUGGAUAUAACAACAAGUCCUGGGUUCUUCAUUGUUAUGAUGGUGGUUACUCUGCCCGGUACAACGGUAUACAGACAGUCCUCCCUCUCCGCCCCGCUGGCUCCACCAGAGUAGGAGUGUAUCUGGACCGGCCUGCUGGCUCUCUGUCCUUCUACAGAGUGUCCCCAGGUGGAGGAGGGUCCUCAGACACACUGACACACCUCCACACCUUCUGCUCCUCCUUCACCCAGG